CAAGUUACUAAGGGUGCUUGGUGGAUGUUCUGGCGCUGAGAGGCGAUGAAGGACGUGGGACGGCUGCGUUAAGCUGCGGUAAGCCGCCAACCAGGCUUUGACCCGCAGAUAUCCGAAUCCGGAAACGGACCGAGGCAAUACCUCGGUAUUCGUGACUGAAUACAUAGGUCACGGAGGCGAACGAGGGGAACUGAAACAUCUCAGUACCCUCAGGAAGAGAAAGAAACCUCGAUUCCCCAAGUAGCGGCGAGCGAACGGGGAUGAGCCUAAACCGGCUGCCUGCAAGCCUACGAGCGUUUUGCAGUCGGUGUCGUGGGAUGCAUGUCAUGGCGUCGUAGCGUCGUGCAGGAGUUAACAAGUCGUGUUCUAGUCGAAUGGUCUGGAAAGACCGGCCAAAGACGGUGAUAGCCCCGUAGGCGAAAGAGCACGGCCUCCUGAUUGUUCUCCCGAGUAGCACCAGACACGGGAAACCUGGUGUGAAUCCGCAGGGACCACCCUGUAAGGCUAAAUACUACUCAGCGACCGGUAGCGAAUAGUAGCGUGAGCGAAAAAUGAAAAGUACCCCGUCAAGGGGAGUGAAAUAGUACCUGAAACCAAGUACCUACAAGCUGUCGGAGCCCUAUGUCUUCGGACACGGGUGACGGCGUACCUUUUGCAUAAUGGGCCGGCGAGUUACUCUAUGUAGCGAGGUUAAGGGCUAAUGGCCCGCAGCCGAAGCGAAAGCGAGUGCGAAAUGUGCGACUCAAGUUGCAUGGAGUAGACGCGAACGCAGGUGAUCUAUCCAUGGCCAGGCUGAAGCGAGCCUAACAGCUCGUGGAGGGCCGAACCCUUUUACGUUGAAAAGUGAUGGGAUGAGCUGUGGAUCGGAGUAAAAAGCUAAUCGAACCUGCAGAUAGCUCGUUCUCCUCGAAAUAGCUUUUGGGCUAGCGUUGCGUGGUAACCCAUGGGGGUAGAGCUACUGAUCUGGAAUGGGGGGCUUCCCGCCUACCCAUCCUAGUCAAACUCCGAAUACCAUGGGCGGAAUCGCAGCAGUCAGUCCGCGGGGGAUAAGCUCCGCGGUCGAGAGGGAAACAACCCGGACCGUCGGCUAAGGUCCCUAAGGGUGCCUCAGUGGUAAAAGGAUGUGGACUUGCUAAGACAGCCAGGAUGUUGGCUUAGAAGCAGCCAUCAUUUAAAAAGUGCGUAACAGCUUACUGGUCGAGCAGGUCUGCGCCGAAAAUUAACGGGACUAAGGCACACACCGAAGCCACGGGUCGGCGUGAAGCGAGUCUUCACGCCGGCGGUAGAGGAGCGUUCCACACUAGGUUGAAGGUCGACCGUAAGGACGGCUGGACGACGUGGAAGUGAGAAUGCCGGCAUGAGUAACGAUAAAAAGAGCGAGAAUCUCUUUCGCCGAAAACCCAAGGUUUCCUGGGGAAGGUAAAUCCGCCCAGGGUUAGUCGGAUCCUAAGGCGAGGCUGAAAGGCGUAGUCGAUGGGAAACAGGUUAAUAUUCCUGUACCGGCUUCUGGCGACAAAGACACGAUGGGGUGACGGGGAAACGCACGUGAGCAGGUGAAUAGUUGUACCUGUGCAAGCCUGCGGGGUGGCAGUAGGUAAAUCCGCUGCCGUAUGCCUCGGGGGUGAUGCCGAGCUUUAGCGAGCGAAGUCAUGGAAGGUUCCUCCAAGAAAAACCUCUAGUGAGCCAGCGGCCGACCGUACCGUAAACCGACACAGGUGGGUGGGGUGAGUAUCCUAAGGCGCUCGAGAGAACCACCGUUAAGGAACUCGGCAAAAUUGCUCCGUAACUUCGGGAUAAGGAGAGCCACCAGUGGUGAAGCGACUUGCUCGCAGAGCUACCGGUGGCCGCAGAGAAAUGGCCCAAGCGACUGUUUACCAAAAACACAGGUCUGUGCUAAGUCUUAAUGACGCCGUAUACAGACUGACGCCUGCCCAAUGCUGGAAGGUCAAAUGGACUUGUUAGCCGUAAGGCGAAGCUCGGAAAUGAAGCCCCAGUGAAUGGCGGCCGUAACUAUGACGGUCCUAAGGUAGCGAAGUUCCUUGUCGGGUAAGUUCCGACCUGCACGAAUGGCGUAACGACUUCCCCACUGUCUCCAGUACAUGCUCAGCGAAAUUGAAUUCUCCGUGAAGAUGCGGAGUACCCGCGGUUAGACGGAAAGACCCCGUGCACCUUUACUGCAGCUUCAGAGUGGCAUUAGGAAAGAACUGUGUAGCAUAGGUGGGAGGCUUUGAAGCGACGGCGCCAGCUGUCGUGGAGCCAUAGGUGAAAUACCACCCUGUUGUUUUCUGAUGUCUAACCACGCACCGUUAUCCGGUGCUGGGACCCUCUGUGGCGGGUAGUUUGACUGGGGCGGUCGCCUCC
rnacentral:rRNA from 1 species